GAUGAACGCUAGCUACAGGCUUAACACAUGCAAGUCGAGGGGCAGCGGUAUCGAAAGCUUGCUUUCGGUAGCCGGCGACCGGCGCACGGGUGAGUAACGCGUAUCGAACCUGCCUCAUACUCGGGAAUAGCCUUGCGAAAGUAAGAUUAAUGCCCGGUGUUUUCAGAGUCCCGCAUGAGGCUUUGAACAAAGAUUUAUCGGUAUGAGAUGGCGAUGCGUCCCAUUAGCUUGUUGGCGGGGUAACGGCCCACCAAGGCAUCGAUGGGUAGGGGUUCUGAGAGGAAGGUCCCCCACAUUGGAACUGCGACACGGUCCAAACUCCUACGGGAGGCAGCAGUGAGGAAUAUUGGUCAAUGGGCGGAAGCCUGAACCAGCCAAGUAGCGUGCAGGAAGACGGCCCUCCGGGUUGUAAACUGCUUUUAGUUGGGAAUAAAACGGGGCUCGUGAGCCCCCUUGCAUGUACCAUCAGAAAAAGGACCGGCUAAUUCCGUG
rnacentral:rRNA from 1 species